AACGAACGCUGGCGGCAUGCCUAACACAUGCCAGUCGAACGAGACCUUCGGGUCUAGUGGCGCACGGGUGCGUAACGCGUGGGAACCUGCCCUUAGGUUCGGAAUAACUCCCCGAAAGGGGUGCUAAUACCAGAUAAUGUCUUCGGACCAAAGAUUUAUCGCCUUUGGAUGGGCCCGCGUUGGAUUAGCUAGUUGGUAGGGUAAAAGCCUACCAAGGCGACGAUCCAUAGCUGGUCUGAGAGGAUGAUCAGCCACACUGGGACUGAGACACGGCCCAGACUCCUACGGGAGGCAGCAGUGGGGAAUAUUGGACAAUGGGCGAAAGCCUGAUCCAGCAAUGCCGCGUGAGUGAUGAAGGCCUUAGGGUUGUAAAGCUCUUUUACCCGGGAUGAUAAUGACAGUACCGGGAGAAUAAGCUCCGGCUAACUCCGU
rnacentral:rRNA from 1 species